CUUUCUUGGAGAGUUUGAUCCUGGCUCAGGACGAACGCUGGCGGCGUGCCUAAUACAUGCAAGUCGAGCGAAUCUUUCGGAACUUGUUCCGGAAGGUUAGCGGCGGACGGGUGAGUAACACGUGGGCAACCUGCCUGUAAGACUGGGAUAACACCGGGAAACCGGUGCUAAUACCGGAUAAUCCUUUU
rnacentral:rRNA from 1 species